GAUGAACGCUGGCUACAGGCUUAACACAUGCAAGUCGAGGGGAAACGACGGGGAAGCUUGCUUCCCCGGGCGUCGACCGGCGCACGGGUGAGUAACGCGUAUCCAACCUGCCUCUGACUGAGGGAUAACCCGUCGAAAGUCGGCCUAAUACCUCAUGGUAUCGUCUGCGGGCAUCCAACGACGAUUAAAGAUUUCAUCGGUCAGGGAUGGGGAUGCGUCUGAUUAGCUUGUUGGAGGGGUAACGGCCCACCAAGGCUACGAUCAGUAGGGGUUCUGAGAGGAAGGUCCCCCACAUUGGAACUGAGACACGGUCCAAACUCCUACGGGAGGCAGCAGUGAGGAAUAUUGGCCAAUGGGCGAGAGCCUGAACCAGCCAAGUAGCGUGCAGGAAGACGGCCCUAUGGGUUGUAAACUGCUUUUAUGCGGGGAUAAAGUGAGGGACGUGUCCCUCAUUGCAGGUACCGCAUGAAUAAGGACCGGCUAAUUCCGUG
rnacentral:rRNA from 1 species